GACAGGAAUUCUAAUUGCAAAUUGAUUUUUUUAAAUGUCAAUUUGCAAAGUAUAUCCAAGUCGA
rnacentral:pre_miRNA from 1 species